GUACAUGCAACAAUUAUUUAUUAAAGUCUAUUUAUCGUCCUGGUGAUACAUAGCAGUGAGGAUCAUCAGUAGGUGAUGACAAUGUAUGUCACUCCGGUCUUGCUGUCUGACACAUGUAUGCCAUCCAACAAGUCCUACCACCAGAACUGACUCCCCUUAUACAAU